GCCUCAGUGGCUCAGUGGUAGAGCGUUUGCCUAGUAUCAUCUAAUGAGAUGUGCUAGCAAAAGGUCCAGUGUUCGACUCACUGUUGAGGCA
rnacentral:tRNA from 1 species